GACCUGGUGGUGAAUGGUUCACACCCACUUUCCUUAAUUGUGUUCCAUUGGAUGUAAGGUGGGAGUACUCGGUUCGAUUCCGGGCUGGGUCG